rnacentral:rRNA from 1 species
UGGGGAAUCUUGCGCAAUGGGCGAAAGCCUGACGCAGCGACGCCGCGUGCGGGAAGAAGGCCUUCGGGUUGUAAACCGCUUUCAGGAGGGACGAAGCCACUCAGGUUAAUAGCCGAGAGGGUGACGGUACCUCCAGAAGAAGCCCCGGCUAACUACGUGCCAGCAGCCGCGGUAAUACGUAGGGGGCAAGCGUUGUCCGGAUUUAUUGGGCGUAAAGAGCGUGUAGGCGGCCGUGUAGGUCUGACGUGAAAUCUGGAGGCUCAACCUCCAGCUGUCGUUGGAAACCGCGCGGCUAGAGUCCGGAAGAGGAGAGUGGAAUUCCUGGUGUAGCGGUGAAAUGCGCAGAUAUCAGGAAGAACACCUAUGGCGAAGGCAGCUCUCUGGGACGGUACUGACGCUGAGACGCGAAAGCGUGGGGAGCGAACAGGAUUAGAUACCCUGGUAGUCCACGCCGUAAACGAUGGGUGCUAGGUGUGGGCGGUGUCGACUCCGUCCGUGCCGAAGCUAACGCAUUAAGCACCCCGCCUGGGGAGUACGGCCGCAAGGCUAA